AGAUUGAACGCUGGCGGCAGGCCUAACACAUGCAAGUCGAGCGGAUGAAGGGAGCUUGCUCCUGGAUUCAGCGGCGGACGGGUGAGUAAUGCCUAGGAAUCUGCCUGGUAGUGGGGGAUAACGUCCGGAAACGGGCGCUAAUACCGCAUACGUCCUGAGGGAGAAAGUGGGGGAUCUUCGGACCUCACGCUAUCAGAUGAGCCUAGGUCGGAUUAGCUAGUUGGUGGGGUAAAGGCCUACCAAGGCGACGAUCCGUAACUGGUCUGAGAGGAUGAUCAGUCACACUGGAACUGAGACACGGUCCAGACUCCUACGGGAGGCAGCAGUGGGGAAUAUUGGACAAUGGGCGAAAGCCUGAUCCAGCCAUGCCGCGUGUGUGAAGAAGGUCUUCGGAUUGUAAAGCACUUUAAGUUGGGAGGAAGGGCAGUAAGUUAAUACCUUGCUGUUUUGACGUUACCAACAGAAUAAGCACCGGCUAACUUCGUGCCAGCAGCCGCGGUAAUACGAAGGGUGCAAGCGUUAAUCGGAAUUACUGGGCGUAAAGCGCGCGUAGGUGGUUCAGCAAGUUGGAUGUGAAAUCCCCGGGCUCAACCUGGGAACUGCAUCCAAAACUACUGAGCUAGAGUACGGUAGAGGGUGGUGGAAUUUCCUGUGUAGCGGUGAAAUGCGUAGAUAUAGGAAGGAACACCAGUGGCGAAGGCGACCACCUGGACUGAUACUGACACUGAGGUGCGAAAGCGUGGGGAGCAAACAGGACUAGAUACCCUGGUAGUCCACGCCGUAAACGAUGUCGACUAGCCGUUGGGAUCCUUGAGAUCUUAGUGGCGCAGCUAACGCGAUAAGUCGACCGCCUGGGGAGUACGGCCGCAAGGUUAAAACUCAAAUGAAUUGACGGGGGCCCGCACAAGCGGUGGAGCAUGUGGUUUAAUUCGAAGCAACGCGAAGAACCUUACCUGGCCUUGACAUGCUGAGAACUUUCCAGAGAUGGAUUGGUGCCUUCGGGAACUCAGACACAGGUGCUGCAUGGCUGUCGUCAGCUCGUGUCGCGAGAUGUUGGGUUAAGUCCCGUAACGAGCGCAACCCUUGUCCUUAGUUACCAGCACCUCGGGUGGGCACUCUAAGGAGACUGCCGGUGACAAACCGGAGGAAGGUGGGGAUGACGUCAAGUCAUCAUGGCCCUUACGGCCAGGGCUACACACGUGCUACAAUGGUCGGUACAAAGGGUUGCCAAGCCGCGAGGUGGAGCUAAUCCCAUAAAACCGAUCGUAGUCCGGAUCGCAGUCUGCAACUCGACUGCGUGAAGUCGGAAUCGCUAGUAAUCGUGAAUCAGAAUGUCACGGUGAAUACGUUCCCGGGCCUUGUACACACCGCCCGUCACACCAUGGGAGUGGGUUGCUCCAGAAGUAGCUAGUCUAACCGCAAGGGGGACGGUUACCACGGAGUGAUUCAUGACUGGGGUGAAGUCGUAACAAGGU
rnacentral:rRNA from 1 species